UACGUAGGUGGUAAGCGUUGUCCGGAAUCACUGGGCGUAAAGCGCGCGCAGGCGGCGAUCUACGUCUGGGGUGAAAGCCCGGAGCUCAACUCCGGGACUGCCUUGGAUACGGGAUCGCUUGAGGAUUGGAGAGGCAAGGGGAAUUCCACGUGUAGCGGUGAAAUGCGUAGAUAUGUGGAGGAACACCUGUGGCGAAGGCGCCUUGCUGGCCAAUUUCUGACGCUGAGGCGCGAAAGCGUGGGGAGCAAACAGG
rnacentral:rRNA from 1 species